CCUACGGGGUGCAGCAGUGAGGAAUAUUGGUCAAUGGGCGCGAGCCUGAACCAGCCAAGUCGCGUGAGGGAAGACGGCCCUACGGGUUGUAAACCUCUUUUGCCGGGGAGCAACGGGCGCCACGUGUGGCGCCACCGAGAGUAACCGGAGAAAAAGCAUCGGCUAACUCCGUGCCAGCAGCCGCGGUAAUAAGGAGGAUGCGAGCGUUAUCCGAAUUUAUGGGGGUUAAAGGGUGCGUAGGCGGAGCGUUAAGUCAGUGGUCAAAUGGCGGGGCUCAACCCCUUCCCGCCAUUGAAACUGGCGCUCUUGAGUGGAAGAGAAGUAUGCGGAAUGCGUGGUGUAGCGGUGAAAUGCAUAGAUAUCACGCGGAACCCCGAUUGCGAAGGCAGCAUGCCGGCUUCCUACUGACGCUGAAGCACGAAAGCGUGGGGAUCGAACAGGAUUAGAUACCCUGGUAGUC
rnacentral:rRNA from 1 species